CGCCCUCCCUGUGCUCCUGGUCAGGGAGGUUGGAGCCACGUGGUCUCUUCCCUCCCCGUGGCUCCAGCCUCCUCUACCAGGAGCACAGGGAGGGCG
rnacentral:pre_miRNA from 1 species